UAACAUUUAGUCAGGUUCUAGAUAUAACAUACUUGUAGGAAAAGUUAAACUAAAUUUUAUUGAAGGUGUCGUGGGGGUGCGACACCUUUUAUUUUGU
rnacentral:tRNA from 1 species